rnacentral:misc_RNA from 1 species
UUGCGGUAAUUAUGAAAUGAUUUUUAUUUUUUUUUUUGAAAUAAAAAUCAUUUCAUAAUUACCGCAAUAUGCAAGGGACCUGAUCAUUACAUUGUUGUCGCAUUAAUUUACACAGGCAUGAUGGUGAUAGAAAACUACCAGAGGAGAACAUGAAGAAAAACUGUUUUGAUCUUGAACAUCAAAAUUAAGCACAUUAUCAAUGUAUGACACAAGUAAAUAGUUUGCACAAAAUUCGGCGCGUCGACAGUCGAUCAACUUCCAAACUUCAUACUCGAGACUUCUUAGAAAGUUGUAUAUCAUCAUCAUAAUGGCCACCAUCACCAUUCUCCUCCAUUUUCUUCCUCGCCAGUAUCUUAUUAAUCUGGUGCAACUCAUUAUUGAGCUUCUGAUCCUUGUUUUGUUUUCGUGUCUUCCGACCAUCUUGCAUCUUCACACCAAACUGAAAUGCAGCUUUUGGCAUUGCUUCCUUCUGCUCAUUGUAUUUUGCCCAUUCCUCUUCUGUCUCAAAGUCCCAUCGAUGAAGACGACCUUUUGCUCGUCCACCCAUAUCCAUUUUAGACAAGUCAUCUUCAUCAUCGCUGUCCACAAUCUCACGAUUAUACUCUUGAUACCCAGGGUAACAUUCGGAAUAACUCUCAGAAAUAAAAUUGGGAUCCUUUUCUCUGGCAUCUUUCUCCCUCAAUUGCUGAAGCCUCUGAUCAUCUCGCUUGAACACUGACCCUAAACCUCGAUCCUUCUCUUCUUGGGUCAUGAAGCGUGGGUCCUGAACAAUGUUUGAAGCUGCUUGCAUGUCAUAUGCCUGCACUGUUUGCUGGAGAUACUGUUC